rnacentral:rRNA from 1 species
UGUAGUCUCGCACAGAUGCAUAUCAAUAAGCGGAGGAAAAGAAACUAACAAGGAUUCCCCUAGUAACGGCGAGUGAAGCGGGAAGAGCUCAAAUUUGAAAUCUUAAAGGGCUUCCCUUUACGAAUUGUAGUUUAAAGAAGUGUUUUCUGUUGAGGUUUUGGUAAAAGUUCUUUGGAAUAGGACAUCAUAGAGGGUGAGAAUCCCGUAUUUGACCUUUACUUUCAACUUUGUGAUACACUUUCAAAGAGUCGGAUUGUUUGGGAAUGCAGUCCAAAAUGGGUGGUAAAUUUCAUCUAAAGCUAAAUAUUGGCGAGAGACCGAUAGCGAACAAGUACCGUGAGGGAAAGAUGAAAAGAACUUUGAAAAGAGAGUUAAACAGUACGUGAAAUUGUCAAAAGGGAAGCGUUUGACACCAGUGUUGUUUUUCUGAAAAUCAAUUAAAGAACUGUUUAUGCUAAGCUGUUUAGACUUUAUCAGCUAAUCUGCUUAGUUUUGAGCUUUUCUUUAAUGCACUUUUCAGUUAACAAGUCAACAUCAAUUUCUUUUGCUGUAAAAAAGCUUGAGGAAGGUGGCUUGAGAUUCGUCUUAAGUGUUUAUAGCCUCUUGCCUAUGCAGUCGGAGAGAUUGAGGUCCGCAGCGUAGAUCCUUCGGGGCUAAAUGCAUUUGUGCUAGGUUAUAGCAUUUUAUAGACAACUUGUUGACUAUGAUUUGUCUUGUAGCUUACUCGCUUAUGUUAUUUUACCUACGCUUAGGAUGUUGAGUAGCGACAUACGCAC